GAUGAACGCUGGCGGCGUGCCUAAUACAUGCAAGUCGAGCGAACAGACGAGGAGCUUGCUCCUCUGACGUUAGCGGCGGACGGGUGAGUAACACGUGGAUAACCUACCUAUAAGACUGGGAUAACUUCGGGAAACCGGAGCUAAUACCGGAGAAUAUAUUGAACCGCAUGGUUCAAUAGUGAAAGACGGUUUUGCUGUCACUUAUAGAUGGAUCCGCGCCGCAUUAGCUAGUUGGUAAGGUAACGGCUUACCAAGGCAACGAUGCGUAGCCGACCUGAGAGGAUGAUCGGCCACACUGGAACUGAGACACGGUCCAGACUCCUACGGGAGGCAGCAGUAGGGAAUCUUCCGCAAUGGGCGAAAGCCUGACGGAGCAACGCCGCGUGAGUGAUGAAGGUCUUCGGAUCGUAAAACUCUGUUAUUAGGGAAGAACAAAUGUGUAAGUAACUAUGCACGUCUUGACGGUACCUAAUCAGAAAGCCACGGCUAACUACGUG
rnacentral:rRNA from 1 species